rnacentral:piRNA from 1 species
UGGAGUAGGAGAAGUAUGAAUUUGGAAAUC